rnacentral:rRNA from 1 species
AGAGUUUGAUCCUGGCUCAGAACGAACGCUGGCGGCAUGCUUUACACAUGCAAGUCGAACGGUAACGGGUCCUUCGGGACGCCGACGAGUGGCGGACGGGUGAGUAACGCGUGGGUAACCUGCCCCUUGGCGGGGGAUAACCAUUGGAAACGAUGGCUAAUACCGCAUGAUCCCUUUCACUUCCGGGUGAGAUGGGGAAAGGCUUCGGCCACCGAGGGAUGGGCCCGCGUUCCAUCAGAUAGUUGGUGAGGUAACGGCUCACCAAGUCUAAGACGGAUAGCUGGUCUGAGAGGAUGAUCAGCCACACUGGGACUGAGAUACGGCCCAGACUCCUACGGGAGGCAGCAGUGGGGAAUUUUGCGCAAUGGGGGAAACCCUGACGCAGCAAUGCCGCGUGAGCGAUGAAGGCCUAAUGGUUGUAAAGCUCUUUCGCUAGGGAAGAAGAUCUGACGGUACCUAGAGAAGAAGCACCGGCUAACUCCGUGCCAGCAGCCGCGGUAAUACGGAGGGUGCGAGCGUUGUUCGGAAUUACUGGGCGUAAAGCGGGCGUAGGCGGUUUAUCAAGUCUGGUGUGAAAUCCCGGGGCUCAACCCCGGACGUGCACUGGAAACUGGUGAACUUGAGUACUGGAGAGGGUGGUGGAAUUCCCGGUGUAGAGGUGAAAUUCGUAGAUAUCGGGAGGAACAUCAGAGGCGAAGGCGGCCACCUGGACAGAUACUGACGCUGAGGUCCGAAAGCGUGGGGAGCAAACAGGAUUAGAUACCCUGGUAGUCCACGCCGUAAACGAUGGGUGCUAGGUGUCGGGACAUUACGCGUCUCGGUGCCGUAGCUAACGCGUUAAGCACCCCGCCUGGGGAGUACGGUCGCAAGAUUAAAACUUAAAGGAAUUGACGG